CCAGCAACAUAACCUUUGGCUCUGUUUCGACAGCCAGUCCCUUUCUCUGGAGGGCAAAAGGGGUUACCAGCUUUAGAGGGUGGCCAAAGAGAGACGUUCCUCAGCCUCACAUCUUGGUAAUCCACCUUUGCGGAUCACAGAGGAGACAUAAAUUUGACUCAAUUGGCUUUGAGUGUUCUGGGAACUGGUUUAUUUCUGGGCUCUAAACCAUGCUCUUCCAACUACUUGCUCAAACUGUAUACCAUCUUCUAGCUUAUUCCAAGACUCAGCACCCCUUGGCAUCUUCCCUCCUAAAUCUAGACCUCACUCAGCAGGGUCAGCUCUACUCCCCUUGUCAGUCUGAAGUAGUUACAGAAGUGGAUGGAGAAAAGGGUAGAGACUGAGAGAGAAUUUGGAACUCAAAAGAAGAAUGUAAAAAAAAGAAAAGAAAAGAAAAGUAUCCUUACUCAGAGGACUAUUAUUAUUAUCCCUGUUAAUCUCAGGAAACCUCAGUUCCCAGUAUUCAUCCUGAGAAGAUUAUCUAAGAAACACAGGAUCUUAGAAUAGAAGAAAACAAAUACAAUUGGCAAGCAAAAUCAGAGAUUAUUUUUAAAAAACACUCUGGGGGGAAAAAAGCAUUCCACCCACUUCUCAAUCAAUAAUUUACUGCCAGGUAAAUCUUAACCUCUUUUUGUUUUAUUAUACUUGAAUAGAAUCUUCUCUUCUCUCCUAAUCCAUUUUAUUAUCUCUGUGUGGGUAGGAGAGAAAUAAAAUUUACGUUUAAUUGUUUCCAUCGUAUCUAUAUCAUCUCCCAUGGUUCUCAGAUACAGACUGACUUCUCUAAAAGUUCUGAGUAAUUUCUAGCUACUUAUGCAAUCUAAAGAUAAGUUCCUAUUCUUGAUUGGACUUUUAACUGCUUUUCAAUGAUGCCUUUGACUUUUUGCUUUAUCCUCUGACUUCGGAAUGUAAAUGUGCUAUCAGAUGUGACUGUAUUUCUUUUUUUUUAAUUAAAACUCUUUAUUUUCAAAAUAUAUUCAUGUAUAAUUUUCAACAUUCACCCUUGUAAAACAUUGCAUUCCAAUUUUUUCCCUCUCUUUCUCCCACUCCCUACCCUAGAUAACAAGUAAUCCAAUAUAUGUUAAACGUGCAAUUUUUCUAUACAUAUUUCCACAAAUAUCAUGCUGUACAAGAAAAAUCAAAUCAAAAAGGAAAAAAAAUGAGAAAGAAACAAAAUGCAACCAAACAACAAUAAAAAGGAAUGAAAAUGUUAUGUUGUUAUACACACUGCUUUCCCAUUGUCCUCUCUCUGGGUGCAGAUGACUUAUUUCAUCACAAAAUCAUUAAAACUGGUCUGAAUCAUCUCAUUGUUGAAAAGAGCCACAUGCAUCAGAAUCAUUAUGUUACUGUAUAAUCUUGCUGUUUCCCUGUAUAAUGAUCUCCUGGUUUUUCUCAUUUCAUUUAGUAUCAGUUCCUGUAAAUCUCUCCAGACCUCUCUGAAGUCAUUCAGGUGAUCAUUUCUUAUAGAACAAUAAUAUUCCAUAAAAUUCGUAACCCAUAACUUAUCCAGCCAUUCUCCAACUGUCAGUUAUCCACUCAGUUUCCUAUUUUUUCUUUCUACAAU